UACGUAGGGUGCGAGCGUUGUCCGGAAUUACUGGGCGUAAAGGGCUCGUAGGUGGCCAACUAAGUCGGACGUGAAAUCCCUCAGCUUAACUGGGGAACUGCGUCCGAUACUGGAUGGCUUGGAUUCGGGAGAGGAAUGCGGAAUUCCAGGUGUAGCGGUGAAAUGCGCAGAUAUCAGGAAGAACACCCGUGGCGAAGGCGGCUCUCUGGGACGGUACUGACGCUGAGACGCGAAAGCGUGGGGAGCGAACAGG
rnacentral:rRNA from 1 species